UUCCUUUAAGCUUUUCUCCAAUGUAUAUUUGUGUUCUUGUAGCGUUUAUUAGUCAUGUCUCGAUGAUUGAUAAUGUUAGCUGCAGCAGAUUCUCUGCUGAUAGAAUCAAAGGACUUGAUUCCAAAACAUCUAAACAGAUGAGGCAUCUACUUUAUUAACCAAUAUGGUAGUAGCAGUAAAUACAAAGGUUCAAAUAUGUAAAAUUCCACAUAAGCUAUAUAGAACAUCAUCAUCAAAAUAUAAGGUCAUGAAUAAUACACGAUUACAUUAUUAACUUUAAGAUCACAAUUCAAGAAUGUAGGUUGUUGAUAGUACUUAGUGACAUUUAACAUGUAUCAGAACACUUAAAGAAAUUAGCCACAAAUGUAAAACAAUGAGAUUUCAUAGCAACCACCAAUAGAUUAAUCCAAGUUUACAAAUGCGAAGUUAGGUUAUCCAGGGAAGAGAGAAAACAUGUAUAUUAACCUCACUAAUCCUACUGAUAGGUUGAAAUUUGCAGGAUUCCUUAACCAAGUUCACAGUACCUCAACAGUUAUUUAGACUUACUCAACAAUUAGGUUGUUGAUAGUACUUAGUGACAUUCAACAUGUAUCAGAACACUUAAAGAAAUUAACCACAAAUGUAAAACAAGGAGAUUUCAUAGCAACCACCAAUAGAUUAAUCCAUGUUUAGAAAUGCGAAGUUAGGUUAUCGAGGGGAGAGAGAAAACAUGUAUAUUAACCUCACUAAUCCUACUGGUAGGUUGAAAUUUGCAGGAUUCCUUAACCAAGUUCACAGUACCUUAACAGUUAUUUAGACUGCACUCGCAACAAUCAAAAUUUCAUAUACAUGGUUAAGUCCUCAUUCUACUAGGUAUAUGGACUAAUGGUACUUUCUAGAUUUCUUCUAAAGGGCAUUAAGAGCCAAAAUAUUCGACCAAGCAUAGUGCGUUAUUCCUUCUAACAGGGCAAGCUAAUAUCAAUGGGUUUCCCUUAAGUUCAUAAGUGUUAACAGCUAACCUUACAUUUCAAAUUUUAUGUUGUUAAGCUAUCAAGAUUCAGCUUCUUAUUUAUGGGAUAAUACACUUUUAAGUGAAGAGUAUGAGAGCAGACGCAUGAGUAUCUCUCAAAUGAAAGACAAAUAGGAAGUCUGUUAACAAAACACCUAAGUGUAGAGGCUCACAGAGGAUACUCAAAAUAUAUAUAUACAAAGAUGUUUCUAUAAGAUUACAGAAUAUAACAGAAUAGUAGAUGAUCUAAAACCAG
rnacentral:lncRNA from 1 species